rnacentral:rRNA from 1 species
UGAAGCAUGACCGUAAGGACAUGUGGACAGUAUGGGAGUGAGAAUGUUGGCAUGAGUAGCGAGAUGUGGGUGAGUAUCCCACAGACCGUAAACCAAAGGUUUCCAGGGGCAGGGGCAGCCGCCAUGGGGUAGUCGGGACCUAUGCUAGGGCCGAAAGGCGUAGGUGAAGGACAACAGUUUGAGAUUCCUGUACUACCGAUAACCGUUUGAGAGAAGGGAUGACACAGUAGGAUAAGCUAAGCACACUGUUGGUUAUGUGUGCCCAAGCAUUGAGGCAGUCAAAGUAGGUAAAUCCGCUUUGAUAAUGCUGGGAUGUGAUGGGGAGCGAAAUUUAGUAGCGAAGUAGCUGAUUUCACACUGUCAAGAAAAGUCUCUAUCGAGGUUAAAGGUACCCGUACCGCAAACCGACACAGGUG